rnacentral:snRNA from 1 species
CUUCUUAAGGAACAACAAUCAACAAUAAAAUUGGAAUGAUGUAGAGAAGAUUAGCGUGACCCCUGCGUAGAGAUGAUACAUAUCCACAAAAUCGCCAGGGGCUUUGU